rnacentral:rRNA from 1 species
AUGCUGCCAAACAUGGAGGAACCCCUUGUUGGAGGCAAGAGUGAGAAGACAGGAGGGCCAGGAGAGAGCCUCCUAGUGAUUGAGGUCAAGAAGCAGCUGUACCUUGCCGGGCCUCUCGUCAUCGGAAGCCUCCUGCAGAACGUCGUCCAGAUGAUAUCGGUCAUGUUUGUCGGUCACCUCGGCGAGCUCGAUCUCUCGAGUGCCUCCAUCGCCACCUCCUUCGCCGGUGUCACCGGCUUCAGCUUGUUGGCUGGCAUGUCGAGCAGCUUGGACACACUGUGUGGGCAAGCCUUCGGAGCAAAGCAGUACCAUCUUCUUGGCAUCUACAAGCAGAGGGCAAUCCUUGUGCUCACUCCUCUGAGCGUCGUGGUUGCUGUGAUAUGGGCAUACACUGGCCAGAUCCUCCUCUUCUUCGGCCAGGACCCUGAGAUUGCCAUGGGAGCAGGGAGCUACAUCCGUUGGAUGAUCCCGGCGCUGUUCGUCUACGGCCCGCUGCAGUGUCAUGUCCGGUUCCUACAGACGCAGAACAUCGUCCUCCCGGUGAUGCUGAGCUCAGGUGUCACAGCACUGAACCAUAUCUUGGUGUGCUGGUUGCUGGUUUACAAGCUUGGCCUGGGCAACAAGGGUGCUGCCUUGGCCAAUACCAUCUCUUACCUGACAAAUCUGCUCAUCCUGGCUCUCUACAUCAGGCUCUCUCCAUCCUGUAAGAGGACUUGGACAGGGUUGUCAAUGGAGGCGUUUCGCGACAUCCUUAGCUUUUUGAGGCUUGCCGUUCCAUCUGCUCUCAUGGUUUGUUUGGAGUGGUGGUCAUUUGAGCUGCUUGUACUUUUUUCUGGAUUUCUUCCAAAUCCUAAGCUCGAGGCGUCGGUGUUGUCCAUCAGUUUAAAUACUCUUUCACUACUAUUCAGAAUCCCAUCUGGUCUUGGUGCAGCUAUAAGCACCCGAGUAUCAAACGAGCUCGGCGCGGGGCGGCCUGAGGCUGCCCGUUUAGCGACCCAUGUGAUCAUGGUUCUGGGUCUUGUGUCAAGCGUAUCGGUUGGUCUUGCUAUCAUUUUGGUGCGCAAUUUAUGGGGGUACGCAUACAGCAACGAAAAGGAAGUGGUGGAAUACAUUGCCAGAAUGAUGCCAAUUCUUGCCGUGACAUUCUUGUUUGAUGACCUGCAGUGUGUCCUUUCAGGUAUCGUUAGGGGCUGUGGCUUCCAGAAGAUUGGUGCGUAUGUCAAUCUCAGCGCGUACUACCUUGUCGGCAUCCCGGCGGCUUUAUAUUUUGCCUUUGUGUACCAUCUUGGUGGAAUGGGGCUGUGGUUCGGAUUAACCUGUGGGCUUGUCGUGCAGACAGUGUUGCUCAUGUCCAUUACCCUGCGCACCAACUGGGACAAAGAAGCUUUGAAGGCAAAGGACAGGGUUUUCAGUUCUUCCCUGCCUGUAGACUUGGCAACAUGA